CCUUGUCGGCACUGGCUCAUGACGCCAUUCACAAAUCCAAGAACCGACGCUCAGAAAAAAUAUAAUGAUGCUCAUCGGAGCACUCGGUCAGCCAUUGAGCGCACCUAUGGUUUAUUAAAAACUAGAUUUAGGUGUCUAGAUAGAUCCGGUGGAGUGCUGCAAUAUGACCCGUGCAAGGUAUCAGAUAUCAUUUUGGUGUGCUGCAUUUUGCACAACAUAGCGCUGCAAGAUGGAGAUGUGGAUGUCACUGUCCUCAGUAAUAAUGAAAACAAUGAAGAUCUUGAUGCUUCAAGAGAUUCCACCGCUGGUGGAGUCGAAGUUCGGAAUAGCCUUGUUGCUAGAUAUUUCUCAUGAAUCAAAUGCGGUUUAAAGAAAAUAGAGAAGAAUGAAUCCAGUUCAAGCCCUAUCGAUUUAAUUUUUUUGUUAAUCGUUCAUUAAAAAAAAUUGUUAAAUACA